CAGAGCCUUCACUGCAAACAUUGUGGCCAUGCCUGAAAAUAAACUUCCAAGGUAACCAGAACAAGUCGUGAGACAUUUAGGUAUUAUCAAUCCUGUGUCUUCUAACACAUGCUGUAAAAGACAAGGAGGGCAAACAUCCCCUUUUUUCUGUGCAGGGAGCCACACUGCUUCCCACUGGAGAAGUGACCCCUGGCACAUAGGUCACAAGCGUAGACCGUUUCAUGGUGCCGCCGAUGUCAGUCCGUGUAGGGUGAGCAAGAGGGCACGGCACAGGGUCGCUGGGAGUGCAUAGUCCAAUGGGUAGAGUAUAGGCCUGCUGCGCUGAGAGAACCGUGUUCGAAACCAACCGUUGGACUAACUUGGGUCACUGGGUAAAGAUUACGGUUGCAUUAGCUACUCCGAGUGGAAAAGUACCCAACAGCAUAGAAAUCACGUAGUGACGUCACCACGGUCUAGCAACUCAUUCAGUUCAUCCCAGGCUACCAUGGGUAGACCACGGAAAGUAAGGACGCCAGAAGAACAGCGUGAAUAUAAUGUCGUUGUGAAGUAAUAAAAGGUGUGGUUGAGUACAUUUCACUUGUUUCUGGUUUCACUCUUUGUAGAGCCACUUGUGUGAAUUCAAGUGACGUCAUAAUGGGUAAUUGUUGUGGGUGUCGUUUACAGCUUUGCUGUCCAACCGCCUUCACAGCGUGGAUUGGAGCCACAGUUUUUUUAAGCAUACU